AAGUUCAUAUGGCAAAGUUCCUGGCUGAAUUACUUGAAUGCACACUUCCAGAUUAGCGCACUCCUUUGUUCGAGCGUCGGAGCCAACCUCAUCUCGGGCUGAGGCCUCCCACCGAAUGGCGGCUGAUCAAAGUCUGUCUGAGAAUGCAGCCAAACAUCUUUCAUUUCAUAGUCUGUCCUAACUCGUUCUGUCAGUCUGUUAGUCUCUGCACUGCUCCAUAAAUGAUUCAUCGAGCCUGGGCCUGUAUUAAUAACUAAUACGGGUAAGUGGUGUGAGGGAACAGCUAGUUUGCUGGCACAGCAGACAGUCAGAAAGCUCUGAGAUUACGUUGGUCACACUGGGACCAAAUGUCCACUCCCACAGCAGGAGGCCAUCUGAUCGAGAGGAGAAGUGGACCAGUUCUACUGGUAUUAUGUAGUUAGCUUGUAAAUGAUAUUGGUCAUUACGUGCCUUUUGGUUUUGGUACAGGUUCAUGGUUUUCUACAGCCCCAUUUGUUGUCUUGUGUAGGGAGACCCUUCGAGUAAAACGAAGCUGUAUUCAGGAGAAUUUGUGAAAUAUGAGUUUAUCUCUUGAUCCUCUGGCUGGAUCAGACAAACGGCUCUCAACCUCCAGGAUUUAAUCGGUUAAAUCCCUCCUUUUAGUGGAUAUGUUUUAAGAGGAUUCACUCUGUUUUUAUGGCAUCAGAGAAGAGACAUUUUCUUUUUUUUUUAUUUCAGCAACACAUUUGGCUCUGUCUUUCUGUAAACAUAUCUUCAAGCCUGAUUACACACAAAUAGGUGUGAACACACCUGGACUAAAAGGAACACAUGCUCACAUUUCCUCGGCCAGAAAGAAAGUACAGCAUCAAAGUGGCCUUUCCCUCUGGUUUCUGUGUCAGAGAGAAACUGGUUGACUAAUGGAACUGCUCUUACCAUUAAAUCCCUGCCAGUGCUCAAAUGGAGGAGAUCAGAGCUGAGUGAAUGCCCUCCCUGACAGCAGCACAUGGAAGUGGGCACUGCACUUUCAGUUGUUCUCACCUGUAAAAGAGAGCAGGAGUUUGUAAACUUUUGCUUGUGGCUUUUUGUUCCUUCUCAUCAACAUAAAAAUUCUAUUGAUUCUUCCUAAAUCAUCUAUCUUCAUUUCUCUGUUGUGUGAAGUUCAAGAGUUUGGAUGCGAAGAGAAUUGAAUCAACAGUCUGUUCGCUCUCCAUGAUUCCUUAAUGCAAGCAGAGAGGACAUAUUUGUUUACUGUCCCAUCUCCUGAAUGCUGUGACAAACCCUGCUAUGCUUGGUCAGGAGAGCUUGCCUUGUCUCUCAUAUUCCAAUUAUUCCUCUUCGAGCAGAGACUGUAAGAUCGGAGCUCUCUGAGGUCUGGCUCGUGUACACCUCUCUGUUCAGCACCAGGUUGUCGUCUGACUUGCAAAGGGAAGCACUUUAUUCUGCUCCAUCGGCUCUCUCUGUAUUUAAAGCUUCGACUUUAAUUAGCCUGUGUGCGCCGCCCACAUUAAAUGCAUAUGACCACCAUUACUCUCAGCAAAGGCACCUGUCUCACAGUAAUAAAUCUGGAUUUUUAUUAGCAUCAUUACUUUCCCCUGUGCAGUCAGUUUGCUCUACCUACGAUGCCCACACCUCAGCAGUUUUCUGCUCAG